rnacentral:rRNA from 1 species
GACGAACGCUGGCGGCGUGCUUAACACAUGCAAGUCGAACGGAAAGGCCCUGCUUUUGUGGGGUGCUCGAGUGGCGAACGGGUGAGUAACCCGUGAGUAACCUGUCCUUGACUUUGGGAUAACUUCAGGCAACUGGGGCUAAUACCGGAUAGGAGCUCCUGCUGCAUGGUGGGGGUUGGAAAGUUUCGGCGGUUGGGGAUGGACUCGCGGCUUAUCAGCUUGUUGGUGGGGUAGUGGCUUACCAAGGCUUUGCCGGGUAGCCGGGCUGAGAGGGUGACCGGCCACACUGGGACUGAGAUACGGCCCAGACUCCUACGGGAGGCAGCAGAGGAGAAGAUUGUACAGUGGGCGGAAGCCUGAUGCAGCAACGCCGCGUGGGGGAUGAGGUGCUGCGGUUUGGAAACCGCUUUCGCCUGAGACGAAGCGUUAGUGACGGUAAUGGGUAAAUAAGCACCGGCUAACUACGUG